rnacentral:lncRNA from 1 species
CGCCUCCUCGCCGCACCCAACUCCGGUUGCGCCGUAGUGUCCACCGCCGCCGCCCGCCGCAUCGUCGUCCUCCCCAUCACCCGCCACCAACGCCUACUCCGUCCACCCGCCACCGACACCGAAUCCUCCGCCCACCCGCAACCGCCGCCAACGCCCCCGCCGCUGAGUCAGCUCCAGAUCCGCUGUCGGGCUGACUCCUCCUCCUCCUCCCUGUCGCGGACGCCGCCGCCGCCGAUGCCUACUACUCCGCUCCGAGCCCCAUCUAGCGAACAGAGCAGGGAUGGGAGGGGCGCCGUCGUCCUACUGCAUCCUUGGUGAGCAUCCACAUCCUUUUUCUCAUUCAUCUCUCUAUGUCCCACCCAUUUUUGCCUGGAAUUUUAUUGCGUUAACCAUAGCUUCUCUUCGAGAUCUGGAUGAUGCUCUUCUCUUAGUUAGUUUAAUUGUUUGCUCCCCCCCCAGUCCAAGUUGGAUCUGCCCCUGCUAUGGAUAAAUAAGAUUAAUCUGAAUCACAGGCCCUUCAAUCCCUUCUCAUUUGUAAUCCUAAGCAAAUUAAUAAGCUACAUAGAUGUUGUUCUUGUAAUUUAUUUGGAGUAAUCAGUUUAAUUGAAUCACAGUAGCAUUGUGUUUCCCCAAUUUGGUUUUGUCACUUUCAAAAAAGAAAAAGACAUUUAUGUUUCACAUUUGGUACUCUAGCAAAUUUAUUCAGUUAUCUACCCAAUUUAUUCAAUUGUUCUGCUGUGUACUGUAGUCUAGCCAAUUUAUUCAACUAUUCUGCUUUGGUUCCGCUCGUUGUCCAUCUGCUCAUAGUCGUCCACUCACUGGUGUUUCCCUGGUAUGUCUCUGAAAGACUGAAGUGGCAUAUUUUCUUUUGACGUAGGACAUACGAACCGAGCUCUUGCAGGCCGCACAGGUUAUCACAAUGAUAUGUGCAUGGGAUAUGUUUAAUUACUCAAUACCUUGUAUUUUUUUUCUUCUGGAUAUCGAAUCAAACAAAAUCCGCAUGAAAAGCUGAUGGAGUAAUGGCUGCAAUGUGCUGCAUAGGAAAUUAUGUUUGCAUGAUCGUAGUCUUCAAUAUUCAGGAUACAUAAGAGAGGAUGUUAUCUCAAAUUAGUUUCAACAAUAUACUCAUUAUUCCAUCCCUGUAACAGUAAUGCAUGACUCCAAAAGCUUCUGAAACUUUUAACCCCAUACAACUAUUUUCAGUUUUUAAUAAAUGAACAAUGAUUUUCUGUAAGAAACAGGAAGUAAUACUUACACCGGGUGAGCUGAAAUCAUGGUUGUGUCGUCAUGAUAUAACAAUCCGUGGACUUGCUCGUACAGGGAAUACCCGAUCGAUCUAGAAUAGGGGAAUCAAUCGAUUUCUGCAUCAGAUGCGCUUUCUUUUUCUCGGUUAGAUCCGACUGCCGGCGAACAAGCCUGAUAGUUCCUAAGAUUCAAGCCAUGAAUUUUGUUACUAGCUAGGUGUUGCAACAGAUCUCCUGACAUCCUUACCCAUAUUGCAGAAGUUUUUUUCAUUUCAGCCUUGGAAAUAUUCAAAGUAAGACCCUGUACUACUACCACAUCAAAGAUUUAGUUGUUCCUUUGUAAUGACAUUAUUUUUUGACAGCACGCAUACUCCAUUCCUGAUUCACUUGAUAUUCCUAAUGAUUUUGAUUACUCAACAUUAUAUAAAGAACUUCUGAUUUUGAUUCUUAAGUUUUUUUUUCUUAUCUUAGGAUUCAAAUGGUAUUUAAUUCAGAAUUUGGUAAAUCACCUCCAAAUUCACAAUCUGAUCUUUGAUUUAUUUCUUUCGACAUUUUCCAAAUGUACAGCAACAUUGCUAUCUAUGACAUAUUCCAAAUGCACAGCCAUUUAGGAGAUUCUUUUAGCUAAUUCAGCAAUAAAAUAAACCAUGCUGUAAAUUUGAACUGGUCUGCCUCUGUUCAUGGGGCUAAAAGUUAUGGAUGCUUAGCCCAGAUGAAAUAGCAUCAUUGCGCUCUACUGUAUCAGGAUUCUCCCUUGAGUCGUGUAUUUGCUAUUUUGUUUUGCUUCUCUCAAACAAUUGUUCCUGAUGUUAUGAUCUGAUAUAUCAUAGUUUUAACGUGAUACACAGGUAUAGAUAGUAUAAGCUGUCGUAUUUCAUGAUAAAUCAAUUUUCAAUGAUGAACCUUAACCAGAUUUGGACAUCUUCAGGUGUUGGACUUGAUAAAGCUUGGAGAUCAUCUCAGUGAACGGGAGGAUGCUGAUCUCUAUAGGAUUGGGAUUACUGGUGAAUCACUUGGAGGUAUUGUAUAUAUAAUGAAUUCAUGAUUGCAUCCUUAUAUUAGAGUAACAUAUGCCCCCCUGUAGAGCAUAUAAAAUAGGUGUGAUAGCAUUAGAAGAUAAGGUAAUUUUUUCAGUAAGAAAAAAAUUAAAUCAUUUUUUAUGUGUCUGAAAUCUAAAUUUACAACUGAAUACAAGCUCUUAAUGAUUCUCUGCACUUGAGCGUGUCCCUGAAACUGACUGAAAUCUAUCUAUUAUAUACUAAAAGUCCAUGAAACUUCCUAUAAACGCUCUCAGGCCGCCACGUGGGGCUCCUACAAACGCUCCUAGGCCGCCACGUGGCUCUGUCAAAUCUAACCGUCGAUUUUCACUUAAAUUGGUGGACCCGAUACUUUACACCAUUAGAUUAAAUUUUUCAUUGAACCUCCCCUUCCAUCGAUCCCCGGUUUCCCUCCUUUUUCUGAUCCUAUUAUUAAGCUACUCUUUCACCAAAAAAAAAGACAUGCGAGUACAUACGUGAGUAUAGCACGAUCAGAUAAACCCGAAAGAACAUACUCCUAUACGUACUUAAUACAUGAUCAGAGAAACACCGAAAGAACACAUAUAUAUAUACUUACACGUACAUAUAGAAAAAGAUAAAACAUCAUACUCUAUAACUUUACAUAAAUACCACUGUCGAUUUUCAUUUAAAUUGGGACCCAAUUGAUGUUUUAGAACAUUAGAUUAGAUGUCUAAAAGUCCAUUAAACUUCCAAAAAUGCUCCUAAUUCGUCCUACGACAUCCUACAAACGCUUCUAAGUUGCCAUGUGAUGCUCUAAUAAAUUAGUGAAAUAUUCUUAAAAUUCUAAAAUAAUCAUAUUUUCAUUAAAUUUGGUGGACCCAUUAUUUACAACUAUUAGAUUAAUUUUCAAGAAAAAAAUUCCUUUCCUAAACCCGGGCCAACCAAAGCUUGUAUGUAUAAGUUACUUUUUUUAAAAAAAGCGAAUAUACGUAUGUACGCCUUAUCUUCAUUCAAUUCAUUUCUCCACUUUUUCACCUAUUCCUUCUCCUAUUUUCAUGCCUUAUUAGUUAGAUAAGCAAUAAUAUCAUGUUAAACAAUUAAGCUUCUUAAUCAUACAACUAAUUUCUGAUCCGCAAAAUCUUUAAAUUAUUUAUAACUAAAUUUACAGUUGAAGACCAUAUUUCACUACAAUUUAGCUUUGAAAAAAAAAGUCAUUUUGGUUUAUAUUUCUGGCUUUUGCGUGCCAUUCAAGCAAUUAUAAAAAACAUAUAAAAUAAUGAUAAUAAUUAAAUUAGGUCUACAAUCAUGAAAAUAAAAUGAAUAUACUAUGAGUAAUGUUUACAGAAUAUGUUAGUUAGAAAGCAAAACUUAUGCAACAAAAUAAGCAACUAUAACAUCUAACUCACACUACUAAUAUUUGAUGAACUUAUGUCUUUAGAUUAUUUUACAUUUAAAGACCCAUAUCCACUGUAAUAUUGAUUUUGAGAAGAAAUAUGUCACUUUGGGGCUAUAUUUUCUGAUUUUUGUGUGCCAUUCGAAUAAUUAUAAAAUUAUAGAAAGAUAAUGAUAUAUAUCUUAUCACCAUAUAUGACUUCGGAAUAAUUAAACUAGAUCUAUAUGGAUAACAGUAAAAUAAACGAAUGCUUUAAAAAAGUACUCCCCAUUAUAACAUUAGAAUAAGUCAAAAUAACAUUAUUAGAUUAUUAGAUUGUAGUGUUCGUAUUUUUAAUAUCUACUACGAAUAUACUGGAAAAGACAAGUAAAAACUAUAGAUUUUAAUCGAACAAUAAAUCAUUUUUUAAUUUUUAGUUAAAAAACUAAUAGCAACUAAAACACUACAACCCGGGAAUUAUUACAAUUAUAUGCCCACAUAAUCUCCUCCCUUCAACUCUCUCUUCCUCUGCUCACUCAUUUAAUUCCUUUGUCUCCUAAUUUUUAACUAAGUAAAAAAAAGAUCAAUAAUUAGAAAGCCAAAUAAUUAUAAUUCUAAAGUUAAAUCAUAAUUUUAACUUAUUCGAAUUUUUUUAUUUAUAAUUAAAUAGAUAAUUUAAGAUCCAUGUUACCCAUAUUUCAAUCUAUAAAGAUGAAAAUUCGUCAUUUAAGCAUAGACACCGUUCCUUUGCAUAGUAACCAAAUAGAAAAAACACAAACCAUAACACAAAAUGAAAACAAGUACUAUAUUAUUGUAAAUCAUUGUACAUCCUUUGAGCACACUUAAGGUGUCACGUGUUAUGUCUUAAAAAUAAAACUUUACAAAUUGGAAGAAAAAUCAUCUGACCAUCAGUUUCCACUUAAAUAGGUAGAUCCAUUAUUUUAACCCAAUAGAUAUACAUUUAAGAAAAUCUUAAGCCGCAAUGUGUUAUGUCUUAAAAAUUAGAAAAAAUAACAAAAAAUGUGAGAAAAAAAAUAUAUCAACGGUUUCACUUAAAUCAUUUAGAUAAAAUAGAAAAAUCCACCCCUCCACUUCGCCCUCCCCCCAAACAUACGCACAACACGGCACUACUCGUCCCAUCCCUUCUGACCUUCUCCACUCUAUCCCUUCCUGUUUAUAUAGCCAAAAAUAAUAAAAAUAUUAAAAAUGCAUAAAUUUCAAGCUCAUCUGAUUUCUAAUCUAAAUAUUAUUGUAUUUAUAAUUAGAACAAUGAUUUAAAGAUCCAUAAAGACUAUAUUUUGAACUGUAUAAAAUAUAAAAUAAAGCAGGUAAUAGAAAAUGUCAAUAGGGACUAAAUUAAACUAUUUAGAGAAAACAUGAUAAGUUCAUAAAAAUAUUGGUUCUUACAUUUCACUAAAAUUGGACCAACCAUUGCAUGUUCCAUUUUCGUAACAAUUUUAAAAUGCUUAGACAUUAAUGGCCUUACAUCUAUCCUAUAUCAUAGCAUUAUGAGUUUCUCCACAUAUUAUUACACAUAUAAACCACACUAAGGUUCACAGUAUAUAGUUCUUUGAAAAGUUAUAUUUGUUACUAUUAAAUUUAAAAUUUUGGAUUCAUGUUAACUAGGUAUAUUCUUUUAAAAAAGAUAGUAUAGAUCACAAGGAAGCGAGGUAUAUGACAUGUCUUAAUUAAUUUAUAUAUAAGUAUGUAACAACUUGCAUCAACUUAAACCUACUAUAAGGAGAACUACUUGAUGGUACAAAUAAAACAUAUUUAUUAACAAUAUAGUUCUUUAGAAUUUGUUUAAAAAAAGGCAAAUAAACAUUCUAUUAAAAAAGGACAAAACACCUUACUUCUAAUUUAUGAUUGAUUUGUCAGGCACGUUUUCCAAAAAAACUAAAUCGAACUUCCUUCUAUAUAUUAAAGAGAUCAUAGAUAAUUAUUUAUACAGAUGUAUCAAAUAUGAUAUAUUUUAAAACCAAACAAAUAUCUUGGAAAAAUUAUCAAAGCAAAAUGCCGAAAAACAGCGGAGGCCUCACCUGAUGUGUCUUAUUCAAAUAAAAAAGUACGUUUAAACAUGGGAGGUGUCAACCAAUUGAUAUUCUGUUUAUAUAUAUAUAUAUAUAUAUAUAUAUAUAUAUAUAUAUAUAUAUCAAACACAAUGUACAAAUCAGGUUGGAAAUUUCGGAGUAAAAUUUCCAAAUUUCAGAAAUUUCGAUCAUUUCGGACCCCUCAGAUAUGAUAUUAUUUCGGCCGAAUUUUUUCAUUAAUUUUGAUAAUAUUUGUCCAAAUUCAACUAAAUUUUGUUCAAAUUUUUGGAAAUUUUAUACCAAAAUUUUGGAAAUUUCGGUAUUUCAGUGAUGCCCGAUCAAAUCGGCUAAACCGAAAAGUUUAACCCUGUGUACAAUACAUCCCCGCGUGAAUGCGCGGGCUAUCUUUCUACUUUAUAUAAAGAAUAUCGAGGACAAAUCUAUCAGGAUACACAAUGUGAUCGUUCUAUUUGAAGAUUUGUUCUAUUUGCAGAACCCUACCUCUAUAUCUCCAAAAUAUGAGAACUGCAUUAUUGUAGAUAUAAUUUAGUAAUGAUCUGACAUAAAUCUAGAGGAAAAACAAAAACAAUUUGGAUUUUUCUCUUUGUCUUUGACAGAUUGCUUUUGUGCAUUUAAAAAGAUAAGGGUUUGUUUAACUAAUUUCUUUUUGCUACAGCUUUCAGUAUAGUUUAUUAAAUCUGAUGUGCUUCUAAUUAAUCUUAUACAACAUAUACAAAAUGCUUCUAAAGAAAUCUUCUAAUUAAUCCUCCACCACCAUUCAGUCCGCCGCCCCGUACGCUGGACUAUAUAGUUAUUAUUAAUUGCUAUUAUCUUUAAGAGGCGCUUUUCUUUCCCUUUGUCAGAUAAUCAAGAACUAUCAUGAUCUUUUGUGAUCAAAAGCCCAUAGUCCACUACUAUGUUUUACUACUUCCAGAUUAAUGGAGUGGUAUUGUGGUUUCUCAGCCAUGGCAAUGUGGGUAUGUAAACAGUUCUCACGUGAGCAGUACAUUUUCUACCUCAUUUUGUGCAUAUGUUUUAUCAAAGAAGUAAGAUACACAAUAUUUCGCUAGCCCUGUGGUUGGUUUCAGAAUAAUGUUUUCUCUGAAGUGAAAAUUAGAUUACAAUUGGUCUAUAUACCUUAACAUAAUUACAUUAAUAUGUCAAAAAUAAUCGAGGUAUUUGCUAUAGUUUAUUUGGAGUUCAUAUCAAUAUCAAAACAAAAAUGUACUCUUUAGUUCUUCAUAUUUGAUAUGUACAUGCUUCUGGAGGAUGGAGUAUUGGAGUGUUAAUUAGAUAUGGUGUCCCGCAUUAACCACAUUCCGUGUUGAAUGCCUUUCAUGGUUUGAAUAAAGUGAAAUUAUAUACUACUGCACAAUUUCUGCAGUUGCGUGCGUACAAACAAAUCUUUAGAUUUCUAAAAUUGGCAUGGAUGCUUAUGACAGCUUUUGGCUUUGUUGUCGUUUGCAGCGAGCGUCGUCGUCGUCAGGUCCUCCACUGCUGUUCAGUCCGCCGCCACCUACGCCGGUCCUCUCGCUUCCAGGUGACGAACUCUGGUUGAUGGCAUCGCACUGCUGGUACCAGGGUAAUUGCUGGCGCAACCGCAUGCCAAACUUACCUGCUGCCACUCCCAUGAAUUUACUAAUUAGCGUUUUCUUAGUUUUCAUUUGUUGGAAUGAUGGAUCGACGAAUUGAUGAUAUGCUCCCUCCGUUCUAAAUACAGGGAUUUCUCAAAAGAUUUUAUUUUAGUUACUAAUUCAGUUAUCAAUUUUUGAAUUUUGAAUUGCUUAAAUUCCUUUCCUGAGCAUCUGAUUGGCUCUGGAAUAAUUGAAGUGAUGGGAAUCAGUGCAGAUGCUUCUAUUGUGGUACAAAGUGUGAAUUCUUAUAUUUUGGAAUGGAGGGAGCAUAUCAUAUAUCUGUAUAAUUUAAGAAUUCCUUUUUUGUUCGAAACCUGAAGUUGGACAAUCAACUUUUGCUUUGGAAUUUCUGGUUCUAUUCGGAUACCAAUCUCUUCGUCCUCACUCCAAAAUGGAAGUGAUUUUCAUUAUUUACAUGAUUACAUCUCAUUUCUUAAUAUUUAUAUGCAAAAUCAGAAGAGUGAGAUUAUUCCCUUAUAGCUUGUCUGGUGACACCCUCGAUUUGUUUCUAGGGUCUUUGUUCAAUUCUAAUUCUAACAUUUUUAAGGACGGAUUGGUACUGUUUUGCAGCAUCUUGGCUUAGAUUUAUUUAUGUGAUGUUCUACAUAUUUUGCUCUGCGCAAUAGUGAUCUGGUUGGAGUACAUACAUAUAUUAAAUAAAUAAGUGCUCUCAAUUUUGUUUCCGUAGAUGUGAGUAAGCAGUUUUUUUUUUUCAUAUGUUUCAGUGAUUCAUUUUGCUGCCUUCAAUUGUGAAAUGAGAAAUACCUGUAAGUGAAGGCCUAAGCUCAAGGAAUAAUUUGUUCUUUUUGAAAACAAAAAGGUUAGCGUUCUAAUUCUUUCCAAUUUUUUAAUUGACAACAUGUUGAACCAUUCAUCCUUUCUGUUCUCUAUAUGAUGUAUUUCACCUUCGUAAACAUUUUACAGCUCAUAGGUAGAAUGUUCACCACCAGGCAAGUCAAGGAGCGAAGUAUGGGGACAGUGUGUGCUCGGAAGAUCUUUGCCAGCUUGUGUUUUGACUUCUGAAGGCAUGCACAGAUGUGAAGAUAUGAACUUCUAGGGGAGCUUUAUAAACCGAGAAUAGUUAAGGCAAUACUUGAUUUACUUUGGACUGCAAAUUACUUGAUCGGAUAAUCAAUAUGUGGCGAGCUUUACACAGAUUGGCUUUGAUGAAUCAUUAAAGGGCUAUCGGCGGGGUGAAUAUCUAGCUUUGAACAUGAUUUGUUUUGAUUCCUGUUGCAACGCACGGGCACACAACUAGUAAGUUGUAAAUUCAUCUUGCAAGCAGCUGGGAGAAAUGUUUUGAACAAUGAAUGGAAUGCAAAAUCUUUCUAAUACCUGUAAACUGAAUGAAAUGGCUUAUGAAUAACUGAAUUCCUGUAAACGCAAUGGCUUCUAGAUCCCAGUAGUAUUCAGAGUCUCAGACAAGAACAUGAUGUGAGAGUAAUGUCAGCUUUGCCCAAGGAUGCGAAGAACUCACGGAGCAGCAAACUCAAGCGAUGACACACACGCACGAGCAACAAAUUGUAGUGGACACACACAAUAGAUCUCUGGAGAUGAACACACAGAAGUGCACACACACACAUAGUUGUUAAAUUCAGACCGGUGAUCGAAACAGUGAGUCUACCUGUUCAAAGGCUCCCUGGUCCAACCGCUUGUUCACCGGUUUAACCGUCGGUUCA